UUGCUCUAUUCACAUGUAACUCUGGGGCUGGAGUUCAGUAGAGGAUGUUUUGCUUCAGGCGGCAGAUUCUGGAGGCAACAGAGAGCUGUAGCAACAAGAAGUUGGAAGGAGAGAGAGAGCUGUGUAGGUCAUAUGCCCUGCCCUGCCCCCCUAUGCUAGCUUGCUGUCCUCAGGUGCAGAGGAAGGCACUAUUCUAUGCCCAGUGUUAGAGUAAGAUUUGACUGCCAGUCUAGUCAGUUUUUGUACACGGAAUUGGAGGGAGGCUCCAUCUUUCACUUGCCCUCUGGAAGCAAAAUGCCUUGAGUGAUUCUCUAGCAACUCUCAGAAUACUGAAGAGCAGAAUAAGAAAGCAUAGAACAAAGGAUCUAUAAACUCACAUUAACGCCAAGUAUCAGUCAGGUUCCAUUGCGUGAAAUUUUCUUUUGGAGUACACUGGAAAUCGCUGCUACUUCCAAUUCAGAAAACAGAUGUUACAUAUGACAA